CAGUUCAUCUUUGCAGUGGGCGUGUCAUGGUGUUGUGGGCGUUCCGUGAAUGACGUAGUAGCUACUGUAUCUACCGUGUGCUGCAGUUCCUCUCUGUUUGCUCUUAUGAGACCCUCGUGCUCAGACUUCUUGACGGCCAGAAGACCAAACAAAGGUGCGGAAGGGCUUUCCCAUUUCACUUGGCCAUACACUGAGGUGUCUAAUGACCUACAAGUCAGGGCUGUCCAUGUGAGAAGUGAAUCUGAGAAGAGAAGGGCAGACACUUAAAGAGAGAGAAGAGUUUCCCACAGAACAUGGCCUCUGCCAAAGAAGAUGGUGUGGAUGAAAAAACGGUGGACAUUAAAGUAGAGGACUGUGAGCGGCUCACACCAGAGGAUGUGUGUGUGAAGCUGGAGGAUCACGAAGAAAGAAUUUCAGUUUUUAAAGAGGAGGAGGAGUGCAAGGAGGUGACUGCUGCCAUUAAACCUGAGGAUUUGAAUGAUUUCUCCAUUGGUCUUGGACUUCAAAAGCAUGAAACUGAGGAUUUUUUCAAGCAAGAUGCCUGUGAAGAAUCUCCAUCCAGUUUACAGCCCUGGUCCACUAAUACGGGACGACUGGCUACACAGGAGAAUUCGGCAGAGCUGAAAUCAGAAUUAUUGGAAUCUGAAGAGAAAAUCACCAAGGGAAAUGGGAGAGAAGGAGAAGAGUCACCUGGGAGUGUUGGAAUAAAAUUGCAGAACAAUGGCAGCUUCUCUCCACCCUCAUUUGGUCAGCCCUCUCUUCAAUACAAAGAGAAAGGUAUGAAGAUUCACACAGGAAAAAAAACAUAUUGUUGUCAUGAAUGCGGCAAGCAUUUCUCAAAGAUCCAGAAUUUUAACAAACACAAAAAAAAUCACUCUGGAGAGCAGAAACCCCAUUGCUGUAAAGAAUGUUGCAAACGAUUCUCAAUGAGAUGCCAUCUUGAAUACCACAGAAGAAUCCACACAGGAGAAAAUACUCAUUGUUGUCCAGAAUGUGGUAAGUCAUUCUCAACGAGAAGCCAUCUUCAGAGACACAGAAGAAUCCACACAGGAGAAAAUACUCAUUGUUGUCCAGAAUGUGGUAAGUCAUUCUCAACGAGAAGCCAUCUUCAGAGGCACAGAAGAAUCCACACAGGAGAAAAACCUCAUUGUUGUCCAGAAUGUGGUAUGUCAUUCUCCAGUAGAAGCAAUCUUCAGAGUCACAGAAGAAUCCACACAGGAGAAAAACCUCAUUGUUGUCCAGAAUGUGGUAAGUCAUUCUCAAGGAGAAGCUGUCUUCAGAGACACAGACGAAUACACACUGGAGAAAAACCUCAUUGUUGUCCAAAAUGUGGUACGUCGUUCUCAAGGAGAAGCCAUCUUCAGAAUCAUUUUAUAAUCCACACAGGAGAAAAACCUCAUUGUUGUCCGGAAUGUGGUAAGUCGUUUUCAUGUAAAAGCUAUCUUCAGAGGCACAGAAGAAUCCACACAGGAGAAAAACCUCAUUGCUGUUCAGAAUGUUGUAAGUCGUUCUCACAUAUAAGCCAUCUUCAGAGGCACAGAAGAAUCCAUACAGGAGAAAAACCUUAUUGUUGUCCAGAAUGUGGCAAACAAUAUUCUGACAAACUCAGUUGUCAAAGGCACACAGAAAUUCAUACUGGAGAGAAGCCAUAUUGAUGUUCUCAAUGUGGAAAAAGGUUUUUCAACAUUAGCUGUUUUCGAGUACACACACAAACUCACACGGAAGAGAAAAUGCAGUAUGUAAGUUCUGAAUGUGGCAAAUGUUGUGCAAGCCAGAAAUGUCUUUAUAGACAGGCCAAAAUCCACACUGGAGAAAAAUCUUUUUGCUGAUCUGAAUGGGUAAACAAUUCUUAGAUUUAUACUCAUUUCAGUGCCACAUCAGAACUCCUGCUGCAGAGAAGCCUUAUUAUUGUCCUGAAUGUGAUAAGAAGUUCUCACAACAAAGCACCCUACUGAGUCAAAUGAGACUUCACACCGGAGAGAAACCUUACCAUUGCUUGGAAUGUGGCAAACAAUUCUCACACCUUAAUUCUCUGUAUAAUCAUAGGAGAAGUCAUACUGGAGAGAAGCCUUACAGUUGUAAUGAAUAUGGAAUGCGAUUUUCAUAUAACAGUUUUGUCUUCACAAACAUAAAAUAUUUCAUUCUGGUAAGAAAGAAAGCUGUUCUGAAUGUGGCAAGCUUUUCUCAGACAGCACUACUCUUAAAGAUCACAUGAGAAUUCACUCUGGAGCAAAAACCCUACUACUGACCAGAAUGUGGGAAACGGUUCUCACGUCCAAGCGCACUUAGGUGGCACAGAAGGGUCCAUACUGGAUAGAAGCCAUACACCUGUUCUGAAUUUGGUAAAGGAUACACUUCCAGAAAAUGUUUUCAGAGACACAUACAAAGUCAUAUUGGAGUAAAGCCUGUCCCAGAAACGACAAAUGAUGUUUCUAUUGGUUCCUCAAACAUAAAAAAUGAAUAAUGAACUUCUGAAUGAGGUAAAGGACUCCAGGUUAAAGUAGUUAAUAAGUACAUAAGAAUAGUGGAGAAAACACUGAAAGUGGCAAACAGAUCGUAGAUGUAAGGUAACCUCAGAGCCACAUAUGAAUUCUAUGGAAGAAUAGUUUUACGGUAACAUAGCAUUCAUCUUAAAGAUAUAGCAUAAAGAGUUAAUAAAUGUGGGAAAACAAAUAAUGGUCAAGUGAACAAAAAAAUGUAACCUGAAAUAUAAGAUUUGGUUUAGGAAAAAUACUGAGAUGGUCAAGCAAAUAAAGAAUGUACCAGAAGAAAGGUUGAUGUGAUGUACAAAAUGUAAUGAAAGAUUUCUAAGACAUCAGCAGACGUACUUUAAGCAAAGAGAAUGGACAAUUGUUAUGUGAACUGAAAUGUCAAAGCUGAUGGUGCAACUCAAAGGUAUAAGAAGAACCAGAAUAUAAUAUAAGUGACUUUUAUUUUAUAUAAAUCAUUUGGGUGUAAACCAACUGUUAUGUAUAUGUAAGAAUUUAAGACUAAAUAUAAGGUCUAUUUAAUGUUACAAAUAAUUGCAUUGAAUGUGUGAUGUUCCUGCACCUUGAUAUUAAGGCGCAUAUUACUGCUGGAACUUGUUACAGACAUAAAAUGAUGGAAGUUUGAUAAUU